CCUCCAUCAUUUUCUGCUGUGUUGGGUUGUGCCUAAAAGUGGGACUUGAUUUCUGUGUUAGAGACUUCACAUCAUCUUAAAAUUCAAGACCGGUGCAGGAGAUUCGAUCAAAACACGCACUCUGAAUGUUUGCAAGAUGAGCACAAGACCUUUGUAAGAACCAGACAGGGAGGUCUUUAUUAUGAAGAGAAGAAUCAUUUUAUGUUUGGUCAAAGCUGUUGGUGGAGUGGUCCAAGCCUCCUGUGGAUGAAACACACCCAGCCAAACGCAGGCCAAAUGUCCUUACCUGUGCAGCCCCUCCUGUAGCAAAGGUAGCAGUUGCAGCUCCAAACACGGAACUCACAGAGCUGAGCCCAGCCCUGGAGUGUACACAGAUGACCAGGACUUCUGCUGGCUGGGCUCUGCUGUGCACCCCAUCCCUUCCACUAGGGAGCCAUGGCAUCCAGUGUCCUCACUUGUGCAAGCCUCCUCUUUAUGCUCUCCUAACAUUCCUGGUCCCAGAACAGCCCCUGCUGCUGAUUUCUCCAGAAGAGCUGGGUUCGUGCCCCAUCCAGGCCUGCUUAGGGGGCUGAACCACUGCUGAGUUUCCCGACUCUUUUGGUACAGAUCUUCAGCUGAGUCUGAGAAGAAGUGCUGAGCCAUCUCCUGGGGCUCGCCUGGUGUGCAGUCUUCGUGUUGAGCCUCUUCAGUGGAUGUGCAAUUGCCAAGGCAGACAUCUGGUGAGGUGAAAAGAAGCUGCCAGGACAAGAGCUGCAGCUCUAACACACAUCACAGCAGAGGUUCAAGGCAAACUGGAUGCAUGCAGCCAAACUGAAUCCUUUAAAAUUAAUCUGUUGAAAGACCUGCAGUGAGAGGCUGACAGGCAGUAGUUAUGGUGAUGGCUGAAGUGUGGUUGAGGGUGCUGCAAUUGCUGCUCAUGCAGAGAGCAGAUAAAUCCCUCAGAUGUGCAGGUUGCCAAGAACUGACAUCUUUUGUAAACAGCAUCUCUCAGUUUUGCCCCAGAGAUGUCCAGCUUGGGCAUGACAUGGAAGAAAGCUGAGAGAAGAGAUGGGGAGAGAGGGAAAAGAAAAGAGCAGCAUAAAACAUCUGUGAAACUGAAGGAAGCAGCUUCUAGUGUGGAUGGGUUCCUGUGCAAACUGUCAGAGCUGAAGUGGGAGAGAAAACCUCCAAAGCUAGAGCUCCAUGGUCGAUGACUGUUGAUGGGUUUUUGCUUUAUAUGCUCAGUGGUAUUUCAUGAAGCACGCUGGUCUCCUCCACGAGCUCUCCAACAGAUUACAAGGACUGCACUUGACUGAGCUCCUGGUGUUCUGCUGUGUCUGCUGUGCAGAAACAGAGCUGUGGCACAUGCCUUUGCAUGGCGGGGGAUAAACACAGCAGCAGAGAUGGAAGAUAAGUGGCAAUAAAAAGUACAGUGUGGAGCGCCUGCCCUUUAAAAUAUAUUAGAUAGUUUACAAAUAAAGCUGUGUAUUUUUAGGAUCUAUCUAGAAUUGUUUGGCCUGUAGACCUUGAGGAAUCUGACCUUGAAGGGAAAAAGUAAAGCUGUGGCCAGCCUUCAAAAUGAUCUGGAAGCAGAUGAGGACAAGGAUUCUUGCUUAUUAUUUCAGCAAUAAUGGUGUGCAGAAAUGCCAAGUGUUUGGUGAGGUCUGCAAGCAGGGCUCCUUCCUUCCUUCCACAACCAUCCUGGUGGAGCAGUGAGGAGGAGGGGGCCUGAGCUGCAGCUUACCUUCCCUCAAGUGAACCUGGUGGAGAUGGCUGUGAAGUGACUGUAGGAAUUGGUGCUGUAAUCUUCUCAUUUUAAAUUUGUUCUUAGAGAAAACACAGAUGAUUCUCUGCAUGGAGAAUCCCCUGCACGUGCUGGGGCCAGGCUGCUGAUUCAGGGAGCCAGAGCCUCCACGUGCUUUGUGCUCUGGCAGAGAAAAUGUAAACACAUCUCUGGUUUUAUGUCUGACCGAGGAGAUGUAAAUCAAGUGUGUGCUGAAGCCUUUUAAAUGUUUUGACAUUUUCCAAUCCAUCAAGGCCUUUAAUUGUAUUUUGAGUGAGUUGUUGUAUAUGUAAAUACCCGUUAAUGUUGAAAUUGUUUAUAGCCAAAUUGUCUGUUUAUGCAAAUCGUGUUCCGAGAUCACAGAGUUUCUAUUGCGGAAUAA